AACGAACGCUGGCGGCGUGUUUAAGACAUGCAAGUCGCACGGAAUCAGUUAUGUAGCAAUACUUGACUGGUUCAGUGGCGCACGGGAGAGUAACACGUGAAUGACAUGCCCUGCAGAGGGGGAUAGCCCAGGGAAACUUGGAUUAAUACCCCAUGGUAUCGCAAGAUUAAACGGUGGCCGCAAGGCUGUCGCUGCCGGAUUGGUUCGCGCCCUAUCAGCUUGUUGGCGGGGUAACGGCCCACCAAGGCUACGACGGGUACCUGGUCUGAGAGGACGAUCAGGCACACUGGAACUGAGACACGGUCCAGACACCUACGGGUGGCAGCAGUCGAGAAUAAUUCACAAUGGGGGCAACCCUGAUGGUGCAACGCCGCGUGGAGGAUGACGGUCUUCGGAUUGUAAACUCCUGUCAUCCGGGAGUAAGACCUGGCUGUGAAUAGCAGACAGGGUUGAUAGUACCGGAAGAGGAAGGGACGGCUAACUUCGUGCCAGCAGCCGCGGUAAGAC
rnacentral:rRNA from 1 species